rnacentral:rRNA from 1 species
UACAGAGGGUGCAAGCGUUACUCGGAAUUACUGGGCGUAAAGCGUGCGUAGACGGUUAUGUAAGUCAGGUGUGAAAGCCCCGGGCUCAACCUGGGAAUGGCAUUUGAGACUGCAUAGCUAGGGUGCGGAAGAGGGAAGCGGAAUUUCCGGUGUAGCGGUGAAAUGCGUAGAUAUCGGAAGGAACAUCAGUGGCGAAAGCGGCUUCCUGGUCCAGCACCGACGUUCAGGCACGAAAGCGUGGGGAGCAAACAGG